rnacentral:rRNA from 1 species
GUAUCGCUUUAAUAGGCGAACAGACUUACCCUUAAAACAUACUACUGCUUUAGGAUGUGAUAAGCCGACAUCGAGGUGCCAAACCUUUUCGUCAAUAUGGGCUCUCGGAAAAGAUUAGCCUGUUAUCCCUAGAGUAACUUUUAUCCGUUAAGCGAUAAUUUUAUCAUUAAAUAAUUAUCGGAUCAUUAAGACCGACAUUAAUCUCUGUUUAAUUUGUAUAUUUUACAGUUAAUUAUAUAUAUAUCUUUAUAUAAUAAAUAUAACAUUGUACUCCUCCGUUUAUAUAUAGGAGGAGACCGCCCCAGUCAAACUAUCUUAUAAAUAUUGUUUAAAAAUUUGUUAUAAAAUUUUUAUAAGAAUUUAUAUAUAUAAAAAAUGGUAUUUCAUUUAUAAUUACAUUAUUUCCAAAAAAAUAAUAUUUAUAUUUCCCAUUUAUACUAUGUUUUAUAUAUAUAUUUUCAAUACUUAUUAAUAGUAAAGCUUCAUAGGGUCUUUCUGUCCCAAUAUAAGAAAUCUGUAUCUUCACAGAUAUUUUUAUUUCAUUAAGAUUUUUUUCAAGACAGCAUUUAAGUCGUUACAUCUUUCAUGCAGGUC